GACGAACGCUGGCGGCGUGCUUAACACAUGCAAGUCGAACGGAAAGGCCCUGCUUGCAGGGUGCUCGAGUGGCGAACGGGUGAGUAACACGUGGGUGAUCUGCCCCUUACUUUGGGAUAAGCCUGGGAAACUGGGUCUAAUACUGGAUAGGACCAUGCUGUAGGUGGUGUGGUGGAAAGAUUAGUUUCGGUAAGGGAUGAGCUCGCGGCCUAUCAGCUUGUUGGUGGGGUAAUGGCCUACCAAGGCGUCGACGGGUAGCCGGCCUGAGAGGGUGGACGGCCACAUUGGGACUGAGAUACGGCGCAGACUCCUACGGGAGGCAGCAGUGGGGAAUAUUGCACAAUGGGCGCAAGCCGGAUGCAGCGACGCCGCGUGGGGGAUGACGGCCUUCGGGUUGUAAACUCCUUUCAGCCAUGACGAAGCCCUUGUGGUGACGGUAGUGGUAGAAGAAGCACCGGCUAACUACGUG
rnacentral:rRNA from 1 species